rnacentral:rRNA from 1 species
UACGAAGGGGGCUAGCGUUGCUCGGAAUGACUGGGCGUAAAGGGCGCGUAGGCGGUUUGUUUAGUUAGGCGUGAAAUUCCUGGGCUCAACCUGGGGGCUGCGCUUAAUACAGGCAGACUAGAGUGUGAGAGAGGGUUGUGGAAUUUCCAGUGUAGAGGUGAAAUUCGUAGAUAUUGGAAAGAACACCGGUGGCGAAGGCGGCAACCUGGCUCAUUACUGACGCUGAGGCGCGAAAGCGUGGGGAGCAAACAGG